rnacentral:lncRNA from 1 species
UCAAUGGUGGUGCUGCUUCUCCCACUGCUUAGUGCUGAGGAAACUCUAAUAAGGCGAUUGGAUGUGGAUGAAUUUGAAACCCGAGAACAUUAAGGACUUUAAAUAGUUGAGUUGCGCUAGAUUAUUAACUUAAAGAAGAAAUUAGUAUGAUUGAAGAACCCUUAAAAGGACACCAAGUCAUAAAUAAAAUCCAGAAAUGAAUUCAAUAAAGCAGAAAAAUCACAAAGACAUCAAUUAAAUUAUGAAAAUUUUCAAUAAUAAGCACCCCAUACCCAAACAAAAAUUGAAAGGAAAAAAAUUGACGUCUAGUGUAACCUCGGUUUACCCUUUGUUUAUACUGAUGUUGGUCGAUCGAAGAAACGUCGAAGACAACACUGGAUGAAGAUUGAUUGUCGAAACUUUGGAAUUUUGACGCAAAUAAAAGAGAGGCAGAGAUUAAUGUAAACGCCUUCUUUUAUUUUUUUUCCUUUUAAGAAGAAAAAAAAGGGAGGAAAACAAGUAAUAUAGAGAAGACAUUUAGCAAUGAAUAGUAGAUAUCUCGUUUGUGAACAGUACCCAGACCAGAUUGGGAUUCUAAGAGUGAAACCACUGCAUUAAAAUGAUAGGUGAUCUGAGCGGCCAUAUUUUUUAAACAUAUCUAAUUCCAAAUAAUAGUAAAAUAAUUUUGAACUCUUUUGUUGGAUUUCCGUCUAAUUAUUAGAUGUAGCUUUUUCUAAAAAAUUAUACCUCCUAUCUUAGACACAUAAAAGAAUGCAGUGAUGUUGCAUUUUUUUUUAACUUUAAAAUUACGAGGAGAUAAAAUAUGAACUAACGAAACCAAUUUAUCCAAUAAGAGAGUAAAUUAACAACUAAAUUAGGAUUUUGUUCAUCCCCAUACUUUGAAAUAAAUAUGAAGAUUCAUUUUGAAUUAAAUAAUCAUAGAAACCCUACUUAAAUAACAAAAACAAUCAAAACCCAUUUCACAUUAACCUAAAAAUCAAAUUAUCCCUUACCAAAAAACUAAAAAAGAAACAAAGAAAAAUAAUGGGGGGAAAAACCUUGGGCUUAAGAUCGGAGUCAAAGUUGAACUUCUAUUCCCUGACUUGAGCUCAAAAUCCUAGACUUCAGUUCUUUCAUUGGUUCAGUUUAUAAUCUUCGCUAGGAUUUGCCUUUCUUCUUACGUUAGGGCUUUGUUUGGUUUUGGAGAGAGAAAAAUGAGUUAAUUUCAAAUGAGAAGAGUUAACUCAGC